rnacentral:rRNA from 1 species
GACGAACGCUGGCGGCGCGCCUAAUACAUGCAAGUAGAACGCUGAAGGAGGAGCUUGCUUCUCUGGAUGAGUUGCGAACGGGUGAGUAACGCGUAGGUAACCUGCCUGGUAGCGGGGGAUAACUAUUGGAAACGAUAGCUAAUACCGCAUAAGAGUAGAUGUUGCAUGACAUUUGCUUAAAAGGUGCAAUUGCAUCACUACCAGAUGGACCUGCGUUGUAUUAGCUAGUUGGUGGGGUAACGGCUUACCAAGGCGACGAUACAUAGCCGACCUGAGAGGGUGAUCGGCCACACUGGGACUGAGACACGGCCCAGACUCCUACGGGAGGCAGCAGUAGGGAAUCUUCGGCAAUGGACGGAAGUCUGACCGAGCAACGCCGCGUGAGUGAAGAAGGUUUUCGGAUCGUAAAGCUCUGUUGUAAGAGAAGAACGAGUGUGAGAGUGGAAAGUUCACACUGUGACGGUAUCUUACCAGAAAGGGACGGCUAACUACGUG